UACGUAGGGCGCAAGCGUUAUCCGGAAUUAUUGGGCGUAAAGAGCUCGUAGGCGGUUUGUCGCGUCUGCCGUGAAAGUCCGGGGCUCAACUCCGGAUCUGCGGUGGGUACGGGCAGACUAGAGUGAUGUAGGGGAGACUGGAAUUCCUGGUGUAGCGGUGAAAUGCGCAGAUAUCAGGAGGAACACCGAUGGCGAAGGCAGGUCUCUGGGCAUUAACUGACGCUGAGGUAGCGAAAGCUGGGGAG
rnacentral:rRNA from 1 species